CACAAAAAUGGACCUACGAACACUCCGGUGAGUUGAGUUUGAAGAACAAGAAAAACAGUAGAGGUCUACCCGGUACCUAUGGUUAAACAUGAUGAUCAUAAGUGCAUGCAUCAUUUUGCAGAUUCUCAUCCAGGAUGAUGCAGCUCUACAAUUUCCAUGGAGGUGAUUGAUGAUGAUAAACAAUUGGUGAAGUAGGCCUAAUAGAACAGUGAUAGGACCACAAAGAGAAAUACAACCUACAGCAGUUAUAUGAGACUGGUGUAACAGAUGUUUUCAUUCAAGAAAUCCAACAAAUUGAAGAGUGACUUAGCUUAGGAAGCACUUGAUAAAGAUGGAAAAGUUUUUUUUUUUCAAGUCCAAUUUUUUUUAUUUAUUGUUAUCACAACCCCAAAUUCAUGAAGUAUGAAAUUUCCUGUUGAUUUUCAUUAAAACUGAUUGCAAAAGGAGAAGCUAUAAACAUACAAAUAGGAGCGGCGAAGUGAAGUUGAAAGUGGGGGGGGGGGGGGGGGGGACACAGGGAAAAUGCUGUAUUAUGUGAAAUUUUUAAGAAGUUGCGAGAGAGCAAAAUUUUGACAUUUUUAAAAAGAAAAUCCAAUUUUGUGAUAGAUUUCGACAAAAUCUUCAGAAUGAUAUAUUUCACCCUUUUUUGGGGGGGCAAGAGUCCUUUAAGCCCCCCCCCCUCCCCCUCCAUCUGUAGUGUACGAAACUGCUUAUCUACCCCCACUCACAUGAAUUAUUAAACUUAAUGCACAAAUGAUUUCCUUAUUGUUUUCUUGUUUCAAAGGGCACUCGUCAUGGUGACCAUAAAACGGGUCCUCAUGUGAAAGGGGCACAGAACAAGUUCUUUAGGAGCACUUUUCUUUGGUAAAAGGGGGCAGUUAUUCGAGAAAGCUAGGGCACUUACAAGAAGGCGAGGGGGCACUUUUUAACACAUAAAACGCGCCCUCAGAUGAAAGGGCACAAAACACGUUCGGGGGGGCAUUUUUUGGUAAAAAUUUGCAUACAAGGAAGAGCACUUGGUAACACCUAAAACAGGUUCUCGUCAGGUGAAAGGGACACAGUACACGUUCGUGAGGGGGCAUUUUUCUUACAUAAAAUUGAAGGCACUUUUCAGUGCUUCAAAAAGUAGGGGGAAAUGUGCCCCCCAGGAUCGCUGCCCCUGCAUACAAAAAACAUUUCGUUCGAUCCAAAGUAUUAACAUACGCUUAAGAAAAAAAGUAAGGCUAAAUCCUCUGAUAAUGUGAUAUUUUUUCUGGCUAUUAAUAAAAUUCACAACUAACCAGAAAAUGCCUUCAUGUCUUUCAUUUGUAUUCAUAUAGUAUUUGUACAGAGCUAAAAUGAAAGGGAUUUGGAAUUGGCAAAAUUCAAAAUGAGAUGGAGAUCGAGAGAAAGAGUGAUGAGAAGGGGGUUGAAAAGAGAUGAGAAAGAAAUGGAGGGGCACAUAUGAAGAGAUCAUUUAGAGGGGGAGGGGUAAGAGAGCAUGAAUGGUGGGAAGUAGGAACAAAGGGGUGGAAGAGAAAUAAGAUGAGAUUUAUGGAAACCAGCUAGGAGACAGAUAACAAGUGGGAAAAGAAGAAGGAAAUAUAUGUAGGAGAAAGGCGGCACCAAAAGAACGUGAGUGGGAAAAUUAUCAAAUGGAAAAACAGCAAGAAAUGCUGGAGAAUAAAGGGGACAGGAAACGUAUUAAACAUAAUAAAUUGGGGCCCGUUUCAUCAUGAGUUAGAAGUAUGGUAAUUAUGAUUGGUUAUAGCCGUUACCAUCGUAGGUAACUACGAUGGUAACUGCUAUAACCAAUCAUAAUCUAGGUUACCACGGUAAUCACAAUAAAAGCGAUGUUUAAAUAGCUGUAAUUCAUUAUGAAACGGACGCCAGAUGAAGAAAACAGGCACGGGGAUCCAUGAGGGGGCCGGCCCCUUACGUAUUAUACCUUGAACAAAAGUUUUUUUUUUGCUUCUCGAAAUUUGUAACAAAAAAUGUACUCUAUUAGUGGUGACAGUUAUUUUUUUCAGUAACCAUACUCAACCAGUGAAAAUUACCAUCAAAUUGUAAUAACCAUGUUCUGCCCCCACCCGCCCCCCCCCCCCC